rnacentral:rRNA from 1 species
CGUAGGGUGCGAGCGUUAAUCGGAAUUACUGGGCGUAAAGCGUGACGCAGGCGGUUUUGUAAGACAGAGUGUGAAAUCCCCGGGCUCGAACCUGGGACCUGCAUUUGUGACUGCAAGGCUAGAGUACGGUAGAGGGGGAUGGAAUUCCGCGUGUAGCAGUGAAAUGCGUAGAUAUGCGGAGGAACACCGAUGGCGAAGGCAAUCCCCUGGGACCUGUACUGACGCUCAUGCACGAAGCGUGGGGAGCAAACAGGAUUAGAUACCCUGGUAGUCCACGCCCUAAACGAUGUCAACUGGUUGUUGGGUCUUUACUGACUCAGUAACGAAGCUAACGCGUGAAGUUGACCGCCCUGGGGAGGUACGGCCGCAAGGUUG